rnacentral:rRNA from 1 species
AUUGAACGCUGGCGGCAGGCCUAACACAUGCAAGUCGAGCGGAUGAAGGGAGCUUGCUCCUGGAUUCAGCGGCGGACGGGUGAGUAAUGCCUAGGAAUCUGCCUGGUAGUGGGGGAUAACGUCCGGAAACGGGCGCUAAUACCGCAUACGUCCUGAGGGAGAAAGUGGGGGAUCGUCGGACCUCACCCUAUCAGGUGAGCCUAGGUCGGAUUAGCUAGUUGGUGGGGUAAAGGCCUACCAAGGCGACGAUCCGUAACUGGUCUGAGAGGAUGAUCAGUCACACUGGAACUGAGACACGGUCCAGACUCCUACGGGAGGCAGCAGUGGGGAAUAUGGGACAAUGGGCGAAAGCCUGAUCCAGCCAUGCCGCGUGUGUGAAGAAGGUCUUCGGAUUGUAAAGCACUUUUAGUUGGGAGGAAGGGCAGUAAGUUAAUACCUUGCUGUUUUGACGUUACCAACAGAAUAAGCACCGGCUAACUUCGUG